GUAGAGCACUGUUUCGGCUAGGGGGUCAUCCCGACUUACCAACCCGAUGCAAACUACGAAUACCGAAGAAUGUUAUCACGGGAGACACACGGCGGGUGCUAACGUCCGUCGUGAAGAGGGAAACAACCCAGACCGCCAGCUAAGGUCCCAAAGUCAUGGUUAAGUGGGAAACGAUGUGGGAAGGCACAGACAGCCAGGAUGUUGGCUUAGAAGCAGCCAUCAUUUAAAGAAAGCGUAAUAGCUCACUGGUCGAGUCGGCCUGCGCGGAAGAUGUAACGGGGCUAAACCAUGCACCGAAGCUGCGGCAGCGACACUAUGUGUUGUUGGGUAGGGGAGCGUUCUGUAAGCCUGCGAAGGUGUGCUGUGAGGCAUGCUGGAGGUAUCAGAAGUGCGAAUGCUGACAUAAGUAACGAUAAAGCGGGUGAAAAGCCCGCUCGCCGGAAGACCAAGGGUUCCUGUCCAACGUUAAUCGGGGCAGGGUGAGUCGACCCCUAAGGCGAGGCCGAAAGGCGUAGUCGAUGGGAAACAGGUUAAUAUUCCUGUACUUGGUGUUACUGCGAAGGGGGGACGGAGAAGGCUAUGUUAGCCGGGCGACGGUUGUCCCGGUUUAAGCAUGUAGGCUGGUUAUCCAGGCAA
rnacentral:rRNA from 1 species